rnacentral:rRNA from 1 species
UACAGAGGUGGCAAGCGUUGUUCGGAAUUACUGGGCGUAAAGGGCGCGUAGGCGGCCUACUAAGUCAGACGUGAAAUCCCUCGGCUUAACCGGGGAACUGCGUCUGAUACUGGAUGGCUUGAAUUCGGGAGAGGGAUGCGGAAUUCCAGGUGUAGCGGUGAAAUGCGUAGAUAUCUGGAGGAACACCGGUGGCGAAGGCGGCAUCCUGGACCGACACUGACGCUGAGGAGCGAAAGCCAGGGGAGCAAACGGG